GAUGAACGCUGGCGGCGUGCCUAAUACAUGCCAGUCGAGCGAACGGACGAGAAGCUUGCUUCUCUGAUGUUAGCGGCGGACGGGUGAGUAACACGUGGAUAACCUACCUAUAAGACUGGGAUAACUUCGGGAAACCGGAGCUAAUACCGGAUGAUAUUUUGAACCGCAUGGUUCAAAAGUGAAAGACGGUCUUGCUGUCACUUAUAGAUGGAUCCGCGCUGCAUUAGCUAGUUGGUAAGGUAACGGCUUACCAAGGCAACGAUGCAUAGCCGACCUGAGAGGGUGAUCGGCCACACUGGAACUGAGACACGGUCCAGACUCCUACGGGAGGCAGCAGUAGGGAAUCUUCCGCAAGGGGCGAAAGCCUGACGGAGCAACGCCGCGUGAGUGAUGAAGGUCUUCGGAUCGUAAAACUCUGUUAUUAGGGAAGAACAUAUGUGUAAGUAACUGUGCACAUCUUGACGGUACCUAAUCAGAAAGCCACGGCUAACUACGUG
rnacentral:rRNA from 1 species